rnacentral:lncRNA from 1 species
AGGAAGGGGGUGGAAGUUCUGUUCAGAUAUGGAACUAGGGCUUUUUGUAGAAGAGAAUGCGAGAGAGUUAAAUCUGAGAGAGGGGAUGCAGGAUUGUGCCAUUUUUGUUUAUCGAUAUGAGAGGUCGCUGUGUUUUUGUGGAGGAAGAGAUGGUUGCUUAUCCGUUAAACGACGACGACGAUGCGACGGAGUGAGGCAGGCAAUUAGCUAUUAUUACUAAAGAAACAAGAGCUUAAUUAUCCGUUGUGGUGGAGCUAUUAUUUCUUGUUUCUUCAACCNUUGUAGAAGAGAAUGCGAGAGAGUUAAAUCUGAGAGAGGGGAUGCAGGAUUGUGCCAUUUUUGUUUAUCGAUAUGAGAGGUCGCUGUGUUUUUGUGGAGGAAGAGAUGGUUGCUUAUCCGUUAAACGACGACGACGAUGCGACGGAGUGAGGCAGGCAGUUGGUGAGGUGAGGGGAUGAGCCAACGAAGGAAGAAGAUAAACAAGAUUUUUAUUUGGGUUACGUUGUUGCGUGUGGGAAUGUAAAACCCAAAAUUGAAACAAAUCUCAUGGCGCUCGGGUUGGGCCUGGGUUUGCUGUAUCAUUUCCUACCAAUCGAUUAGGAUUUAAGAAGGCCAAAACUAG